UCCGUCAGUCAGCAUACGGCCCUACAAAUAACGAUCGCAUUGUAGUAAUAAUAAGGUCGAUUUUUGUUAGAAUAAAAAGUCAUGAUUGACGAAUGUUGGAUAGAUGUAAUAAUUAUCUCUCUAUUUAAUUUGUUCAUGGUGGCUACUCGAAGCGUGCAUUUUGUUUGGAAGUAAAAAACCCAAGGAUUAUACGUAUGCUCAACUUGGACAAAAUCGAAGAUGGUUUACACAGAAGCAGAUCCUACCUACCUACCUACCCUACCUACCUACCUACCUGACGACCUACUUGACAUUCCACUAAUACUGCAACCCAAUCCAGUACAACCCAGUGGAAGAAUGACCAGAAAUGCAAAAAUAUUUCAAGAAACUAUGGGAUAUCUUCUCGUCGUAGUCAACAUGAGACACAUUCUCUUGAAGGUUCUACCGAAAAGCAAAGAGGGGGUGAUCGGAAAGGAGCAAAAUGUUCAAGAAAACACUUAAUGACUAACUGUAAUAACUGAAAAUGAAGGUUUUUCUAAUAAAGGCAAGUGCCAUACCGUAU
rnacentral:lncRNA from 1 species